rnacentral:rRNA from 1 species
AUGAACGCUGGCGGCGUGUCUAAGGCAUGCAAGUCGAGUGCACUUCGGGUGCACGGCAGACGGGAGCGUAACACAUUGGUAAUCCACCCCUAAGAGGAGGAUAACCCUCCGAAAGGAGGGCUAAUACUCCAUGUGCUCGUUGUACAUAUGUAUCACGAGUAAAGGUUUACUACUUAGGGAGGAGCCUAUGGCCUAUCAGCUUGUUGGUGAGGUAACGGCUCACCAAGGCUAUGACGGGUACCGGGUGUGAGAGCAUGACCCGGCUCAAUGGGACUGAGACACUGCCCAUACUCCUACGGGAGGCUGCAGUCGAGAAUAUUCCACAAUGGCCGAAAGGCUGAUGGAGCGACGCCGCGUGUAGGACGAAGCCUUUCGGGGUGUAAACUACUUUUUUUAGGGAAGAACAAAUGACGGUACCUAAAGAAUAAGGGGCUGCUAACUUCGU